rnacentral:rRNA from 1 species
CUGCCCUUCAGUGGGGAAUAACACGCCGAAAGGCGUGCUAAUGCCGCAUGUCACAGUUGAGUUUCCGAGCUCGAUUGGAAAAGGGGACGCCCGCAAGGGGUUCUCGCUGGAGGAUGAGUCCGCGGCCCAUCAGCUUGUUGGCGGGGUAAUGGCCCACCAAGGCAAAGACGGGUAGCUGGUCUGAGAGGAUGACCAGCCACACUGGGACUGAGACACGGCCCAG